rnacentral:rRNA from 1 species
UACAGAGGGGGCAAGCGUUGUUCGGAAUUACUGGGCGUAAAGGGCGCGUAGGCGGCUUGCUAAGUCGAACGUGAAAUCCCCGAGCUCAACUCGGGAACUGCGUCCGAUACUGGCAGGCUUGAAUCCGGGAGAGGGAUGCGGAAUUCCAGGUGUAGCGGUGAAAUGCGUAGAUAUCUGGAGGAACACCGGUGGCGAAGGCGGCAUCCUGGACCGGCAUUGACGCUGAGGCGCGAAGGCUAGGGUAGCGAACGGG